GGGUGGGGCCUGUAGCUCAGAGGAUUAGAGCACGGCUACGAACCACGGUGUCGGGGGUUCGAAUCCCUCCUCGCCCA
rnacentral:tRNA from 1 species